CUAGCGACUUCUAGAGUUUGAUCCUGGCUCAGGACGAACGCUGGCGGCGUGCCUAACACAUGCAAGUCGAACGGGGCGAUCUUUCGGGGAUCGCUUAGUGGCGAACGGGUGAGUAACGCGUGAGGAACCUGCCUUUCAUGGGGGACAACAGUUGGAAACGACUGCUAAUACCGCAUAACAUGUACGGAUCGCAUGGUCUGUACAUCAAAGCUUUAUGUGCUGAAAGAUGGCCUCGCGUCUGAUUAGCUAGUUGGUGGGGUAACGGCUCACCAAGGCGACGAUCAGUAGCCGGUCUGAGAGGAUGAACGGCCACAUUGGGACUGAGAUACGGCCCAG
rnacentral:rRNA from 1 species